rnacentral:sRNA from 1 species
UCUUUGACGUCGGGACUGGAGAU